rfam:Vibrio genomosp. F6 str. FF-238 FF-238_contig_557, whole genome shotgun sequence.
GCGCCCGUAGCUCAGCUGGAUAGAGCGUUGGCCUCCGGAGCCAAAGGUCGAAGGUUCGAAUCCUUUCGGGCGUA